rnacentral:rRNA from 1 species
GCCUAAUACAUGGAAGUCGAGCGGAUGAAGAGAGCUUGCUCUCUGAUUCAGCGGCGGACGGGUGAGUAAUGCCUAGGAAUCUGCCUGAUAGUGGGGGACAACGUUUCGAAAGGAACGCUAAUACCGCAUACGUCCUACGGGAGAAAGCAGGGGACCUUCGGGCCUUGCGCUAUCAGAUGAGCCUAGGUCGGAUUAGCUAGUUGGUGAGGUAACGGCUCACCAAGGCGACGAUCCGUAACUGGUCUGAGAGGAUGAUCAGUCACACUGGAACUGAGACACGGUCCAGACUCCUACGGGAGGCAGCAGUGGGGAAUAUUGGACAAUGGGCGAAAGCCUGAUCCAGCCAUGCCGCGUGUGUGAAGAAGGUCUUCGGAUUGUAAAGCACUUUAAGUUGGGAGGAAGGGCAUUAACCUAAUACGUUAGUGUUUUGACGUUACCGACAGAAUAAGCACCGGCUAACUUCGUGCCAGCAGCCGCGGUAAUACGAAGGGUGCAAGCGUUAAUCGGAAUUACUGGGCGUAAAGCGCGCGUAGGUGGUUUGUUAAGUUGAAUGUGAAAGCCCCGGGCUCAACCUGGGAACUGCAUCCAAAACUGGCAAGCUAGAGUAUGGCAGAGGGUGGUGGAAUUUCCUGUGUAGCGGUGAAAUGCGUAGAUAUAGGAAGGAACACCAGUGGCGAAGGCGACCACCUGGGCUAAUACUGACACUGAGGUGCGAAAGCGUGGGGAGCAAACAGGAUUAGAUACCCUGGUAGUCCAC